rnacentral:rRNA from 1 species
CCUACGGGUGGCAGCAGUGGGGAAUAUUGGACAAUGGGCGAAAGCCUGAUCCAGCCAUGCCGCGUGUGUGAAGAAGGCCUUCGGGUUGUAAAGCACUUUCAGUGGGGAAGAAAGCCUUGGGGCUAAUACCCUCGAGGAAGGACAUCACCCACAGAAGAAGCACCGGCUAACUCCGUGCCAGCAGCCGCGGUAAUACGGAGGGUGCGAGCGUUAAUCGGAAUUACUGGGCGUAAAGCGCGCGUAGGCGGUCUGAUAAGCCGGUUGUGAAAGCCCCGGGCUCAACCUGGGAACGGCAUCCGGAACUGUCAGGCUAGAGUGCAGGAGAGGAAGGUAGAAUUCCCGGUGUAGCGGUGAAAUGCGUAGAGAUCGGGAGGAAUACCAGUGGCGAAGGCGGCCUUCUGGACUGACACUGACGCUGAGGUGCGAAAGCGUGGGUAGCAAACAGGAUUAGAAACCCGGGUAGUC